AAUGAACGUUAGCGGCGCGCCUGAUGCAUGCAAGUCGAACGCCUGCGUUAUCCGCAAGGGUGACAAUGGAGUGGCGAACGGCUGAGUAACGCGUAAGUAACCUGUCUCAAAGUGGGGAAUAACUUGCCGAAAGGCAGGAUAAUUCCGCAUGUGCUGAUAAGCGAAUGUUUUUCAGUAAAGCUUUCGAGCGCUUUGAGAGGGGCUUGCGUCUGAUUAGCUAGUUGGUGGGGUAAUGGCCUACCAAGGCGAUGAUCAGUAGCUGGUCUUAGAGGACAACCAGCCAGACAGGGACUGAGACACGGCCCUGACUCCUACGGGAGGCUG
rnacentral:rRNA from 1 species